AGGACGAACGCUGGCGGCGUGCCUAAUACAUGCAAGUCGAACGGUCUUUCUAUGGAAGCUUGCUUCCACUGAGAAGAUAGUGGCGAACGGGUGAGUAACACGUGGGUAACCUGCCCAUAAGAGGGGGGAUAACAUCCGGAAACGGGUGCUAAUACCGCAUAGUUUUCUUGAUCGCAUGAUCGGGAAAGGAAAGACGGCCUUUGUGCUGUCGCUUAUGGAUGGACCCGCGGCGUAUUAGUUAGUUGGUGAGGUAACGGCUCACCAAGACGAUGAUACGUAGCCGACCUGAGAGGGUGAUCGGCCACAUUGGGACUGAGACACGGCCCAAACUCCUACGGGAGGCAGCAGUAGGGAAUCUUCCGCAAUGGACGAAAGUCUGACGGAGCAACGCCGCGUGAGUGAAGGUAAAGGGUUUUCGGAUCGUAAAACUCUGUUGUCAGAGAAGAACAAGUUGGAGAGUAACUGCUCCAGCCUUGACGGUAUCUGACCAGAAAGCCACGGCUAACUACGUGCCAGCAGCCGC
rnacentral:rRNA from 1 species